UGUCCUAGUAGCUUAAAACUUUCAAAGCACUG
rnacentral:tRNA from 1 species